GAUGAACGCUGGCGGCGUGCCUAAUACAUGCAAGUCGAGCGAACAGAUGAGAAGCUUGCUUCUCUGAUGUUAGCGGCGGACGGGUGAGUAACACGUGGGUAACCUACCUAUAAGACUGGGAUAACUCCGGGAAACCGGGGCUAAUACCGGAUAAUAUUUUGAACCGCAUGGUUCAAUAGUGAAAGACGGUUUCGGCUGUCACUUAUAGAUGGACCCGCGCCGUAUUAGCUAGUUGGUAAGGUAACGGCUUACCAAGGCGACGAUACGUAGCCGACCUGAGAGGGUGAUCGGCCACACUGGAACUGAGACACGGUCCAGACUCCUACGGGAGGCAGCAGUAGGGAAUCUUCCGCAAUGGGCGAAAGCCUGACGGAGCAACGCCGCGUGAGUGAUGAAGGUCUUCGGAUCGUAAAACUCUGUUGUUAGGGAAGAACAAAUUUGUUAGUAACUGAACAAGUCUUGACGGUACCUAACCAGAAAGCCACGGCUAACUACGUGCCAGCAGCCGCGGUAAUACGUAGGUGGCAAGCGUUAUCCGGAAUUAUUGGGCGUAAAGCGCGCGUAGGCGGUUUCUUAAGUCUGAUGUGAAAGCCCACGGCUCAACCGUGGAGGGUCAUUGGAAACUGGGAAACUUGAGUGCAGAAGAGGAGAGUGGAAUUCCAUGUGUAGCGGUGAAAUGCGCAGAGAUAUGGAGGAACACCAGUGGCGAAGGCGGCUCUCUGGUCUGUAACUGACGCUGAUGUGCGAAAGCGUGGGGAUCAAACAGGAUUAGAUACCCUGGUAGUCCACGCCGUAAACGAUGAGUGCUAAGUGUUAGGGGGUUUCCGCCCCUUAGUGCUGCAGCUAACGCAUUAAGCACUCCGCCUGGGGAGUACGACCGCAAGGUUGAAACUCAAAGGAAUUGACGGGGACCCGCACAAGCGGUGGAGCAUGUGGUUUAAUUCGAAGCAACGCGAAGAACCUUACCAAAUCUUGACAUCCUUUGACCGCUCUAGAGAUAGAGUCUUCCCCUUCGGGGGACAAAGUGACAGGUGGUGCAUGGUUGUCGUCAGCUCGUGUCGUGAGAUGUUGGGUUAAGUCCCGCAACGAGCGCAACCCUUAAGCUUAGUUGCCGUCAUUAAGUUGGGCACUCUAGGUUGACUGCCGGUGACAAACCGGAGGAAGGUGGGGAUGACGUCAAAUCAUCAUGCCCCUUAUGAUUUGGGCUACACACGUGCUACAAUGGAUAAUACAAAGGGCAGCGAAUCCGCGAGGCCAAGCAAAUCCCAUAAAAUUAUUCUCAGUUCGGAUUGUAGUCUGCAACUCGACUACAUGAAGCUGGAAUCGCUAGUAAUCGUAGAUCAGCAUGCUACGGUGAAUACGUUCCCGGGUCU
rnacentral:rRNA from 1 species